AUAUCAAUAAGCGGAGGAAAAGAAACCAACAGGGAUUGCCUUAGUAACGGCGAGUGAAGCGGCAACAGCUCAAAUUUGAAAUCUGGCUCUUUUAGGGUCCGAGUUGUAAUUUGCAGAGGGCGCUUUGGCUUUGGCAGCGGUCCAAGUUCCUUGGAACAGGACGUCACAGAGGGUGAGAAUCCCGUACGUGGUCGCUAGCUAUUGCCGUGUAAAGCCCCUUCGACGAGUCGAGUUGUUUGGGAAUGCAGCUCUAAAUGGGAGGUAAAUUUCUUCUAAAGCUAAAUAUUGGCCAGAGACCGAUAGCGCACAAGUAGAGUGAUCGAAAGAUGAAAAGCACUUUGGAAAGAGAGUCAAACAGCACGUGAAAUUGUUGAAAGGGAAGCGCUUGCAGCCAGACUUGCUUGCAGUUGCUCAUCCGGGCUUUUGCCCGGUGCACUCUUCUGCAGGCAGGCCAGCAUCAGUUUGGGCGGUGGGAUAAAGGUCUCUGACACGUUCCUUCCUUCGGGUUGGCCAUAUAGGGGAGACGUCAUACCACCAGCCUGGACUGAGGUCCGCGCAUCUGCUAGGAUGCUGGCGUAAUGGCUGUAAGCGGCCCGUCUUGAAACACGGACCAAGGAGUCUAACAUCUAUGCGAGUGUUUGGGUGUCAAGCCCGAGCGCGUAAUGAAAGUGAACGGAGGUGGGAACCCGCAAGGGCGCACCAUCGACCGAUCCUGAAGUUUACGGAAGGAUUUGAGUAAGAGCAUGGCUGUUGGGACCCGAAAGAUGGUGAACUAUGCUUGAAUAGGGUGAAGCCAGAGGAAACUCUGGUGGAGGCUCGCAGCGGUUCUGACGUGCAAAUCGAUCGUCAAAUUUGGGCAUAGGGGCGAAAGACUAAUCGAACUAUCUAGUAGCUGGUUCCUGCC
rnacentral:rRNA from 1 species